CCUACACAUGCAAGUAGAAGGGUGAGUUACUUUAGCUUGCUAGAGUAAUGAAGAGUUGCGAACGGGUGAGUAACGCGUAGGUAACCUACCUCUUAGCGGGGGAUAACUAUUGGAAACGAUAGCUAAUACCGCAUAACAGUUUUAGUCGCAUGACUAAGAUUUGAAAGGCGCAACUGCGUCACUAAGAGAUGGACCUGCGUUGUAUUAGCUAGUUGGUGAGGUAACGGCUCACCGAGGCCUCGAUACAUAGCCGACCUGAGAGGGUGAUCGGCCACACUGGGACUGAGACACGGCCCAUACUCCUACGGGAGGCAGCAGUAGGGAAUCUUCGGCAAUGGACGAAAGUCUGACCGAGCAACGCCGCGUGAGUGAAGAAGGUUUUCGGAUCGUAAAGCUCUGUUGUAAGAGAAGAAUGUUAGUGGGAGUGGAAAAUCCACUAAGUGACGGUAUCUUACCAGAAAGGGACGGCUAACUACGUGCCAGCAGCCGCGGUAAU
rnacentral:rRNA from 1 species